GAUGAAGAACGCAGCGAAAUGCGAUAAUUAAUGUGAAUUGCAGAAUUCCGUGAAUCAUCGAGUCUUUGAACGCACAUUGCGCCUCAUGGCAUUCCGUGAGGCAUGCCCAUCUCAGCGUUAGAAAAUAUUCUCAAAUUUUAGUUUUGUGCUAAAAUUUGGAUCAUGUCAAGGAAGCUAUUACUAUUAUUGUGAUCGCUCUUUGGAAAUUGAUAGGUCUUUGAGUUGCUACUCAUAGAACGUGAUGAAUCUUUCUUCGUUCUAUUGUAAUUCACUCUGGUAGUCCUAAAACUUGUAUGCCUGUGGCAUAUCUUGUAAUUUGACCUGAGAUUGGGUAGGGAUACCCGCUGAACUUAAGCAUAUCAAUGAGCGGAGGA
rnacentral:misc_RNA from 1 species